rnacentral:lncRNA from 1 species
UCACAAACUCCCAAAGCUGAGGAAAGCUAACUGCUUUAAGCCAAGGAAAAUAGAGUUUCAUGGAAACCUAUUUACCUCUGUACAGUGGAAACAGCUGAAUACUGAAGCUGAUCAUUGAAACUGUUCUCAAGUAACUUGCUUUGUCAGAGGAAAACCACUCUCACCUCAAAGCCAUAGCAAAGCUUGCAUGACCACAGAUGCUGUCAAGUGGGAAAAAAAACUGUUCCUUGCCUUGCUGAAGGAUUCGGAGAGGACAGGAAGGAGAGCCUCUUAAACAAAUCUUGAAAUUGAAGAAGUCUGAGACAACCUAAGCCUUCUGUCAAGAGAAAUGAUGCAAAACUGAUACAGCGGAUGCACACAAAAGAGGACUGGGGCAGAGGGAAAGGGAUCAGUUUGUGAAACAGCAAGUCUAAAGAACCAAGUCAAGAACUGGGGGAAUGUUCCCUGAUCUCCCAAAGGAGCAAGGAGAAGCCACUCUGCUCCCAGCAGCCAGGAUCUUCAGUGCUGACGUUUCCUGAGCAUGCACUGGCAGGGAGCAAUUGGAGCAUCCUUCUCAGAGUGUGUCACUCAUAAAAUAAACACAGCUGCAGCUCUCACCCUCCCUGUGGGAAGAGCAACCACCACAAAAUCAUUCUGUGCAAAACAGCCCCCUUUUUCCUUGGCCAAAUACAACAAAACUUCCUACCUACUACUACUACAGAUCUGGUAUCUUCCAGCAGACUACGUAUCAAAACUCCCUACAAGCAGUACAAUAAUGAGGAUGGCUCUUUUAGUACCAAGGGACACAUAGCAGAGCUGGCAGCAGAACCUAGGAACAAGGCAGCAAGUAAAAGAAGCUUCAAGUCAGUGUCUACUUCUCUUUGGUCUGGGAGAAGACUGCCUAUAACCAAAGGUGAAUCAAAGCUAUCCAGUUAUUACCAGUCCCACCGGUGGGAACCUGCAAAGUGAAGAGGGUGAGAGUUGUUUUGUCUCCAUUACGUAAUGAAAAUAAGGAGAAACUUGAACAUGAAUGUGCAUGAAAUGGCACUUUGAGGGUGGGAAGAGGAGGAGGAGGAGGAGAAAGAAGAAGAGGAGGAGGGAAAUAGGCACUUCUGUGUGCUAGAAAGUUGCAUUGCUCAGAUAAUGAGAAGAUUGGUUCCCCUAGGAACAGACAACUCUGUUUAGAAAAGGCUGGGAUGAAGGGGCAAUAUCCUACAUUGUGCAACUGGAAAAACAACUAAAACUGCUCAUGGGAAAAAUAAGAAGAGCAGGGUUGCUCCCAAGGAAACAAACAAGCCAGAAAAAAAAUCCCAGCUCCUUUUAGAAAUGCAAACUUUACCAGAGUAAGAACAGACAGAACGAAUCUCGCAGACCCCAUACAUCCACAGGCACACUGGGGAGAAGUGCUGCUCUCCCAGGAAGCUGGGGGUCCAGAAUGGCCAGGCUUUAUGAGCAGAAAACCAUGACAUGGAUACUGCUCUGAGAGCGAUGUGCUACCCAUGUGUAGGUAGAUACCACCCAUGGAGCUGCUGCCCGGUAUGCUGAUGUGACCAGUUCCUUUCUAGCCACAGAAUGGCAGGUUGGUCUUGGCCCACUCCACACCAUCAAUGCCUGGCACUGUCAUCAUUCAGGUGGGAGUAAGGCUGUAAAAUGACACUCUGAUUGGGAAUUAAAGGCUGAGAUUAUUGUCACUCUUACCUGAGAUGCAACCUGUGUUCCUUCAAAUAAAGCAAGAGUUACUAUAAGGAGAUUACA